rnacentral:rRNA from 1 species
GCUACGGGAGGCAGCAGUGAGGAAUAUUGGUCAAUGGGCGCGAGCCUGAACCAGCCAAGUCGCGUGAGGGAAGACGGUCCUAUGGAUUGCAAACCUCUUUUGUCGGGGAGCAAAAGACGCCACGCGUGGCGUUCCGAGAGUACCCGAAGAAAAAGCAUCGGCUAACUCCGUGCAAGCAGCAGCGGUAAUACGGAGGAUGCGAGCGUUAUCCGGAUUUAUUGGGUUUAAAGGGUGAGCAGGCGGAGGAUCAAGUCAGCGGUAAAGUUGAGAGGCACAACCUCUUCGAGCCGUUGAAACUGGUUAUCUUGAGUGAGCGAGAAGUAUGCGGAAUGCGUGGUGUAGCGGUGAAAUGCAUAGAUAUCACGCAGAACUCCGAUUGCGAAGGCAGCAUACCGGCGCGCAACUGACGCUCAUGCACGAAAGUGUGGGUAUCGAACAGGAUUAGAUACCCUAGUAGUC